AAAAAGGGAACCUUAGAAUUAUAUUUUGUUUUAGAAGAGGUACUUGAAGAUCUUACAUAUACGCUUAUGGAUUCCAGCUGUAACAGAAGAACAUAUGAUGUGAUGUUAUCAGAAAGCAUGCGAUAUCUUAAAUCUGAAAAUCUGGUGGAUUCCAGUAACAAUUCAAGACUGAAAAGCACAACUCACCGUCAGCUUUGACUGAAGCAAACUGAAAGAAGAAGAGGGCAGAUCUCACACACUGGACAAAGGUGACAGCCGACUUCUUGGAAGCUGCAGCCAUGGCAAUGAGCUUGAGGUUGCCUAGAAAGAGUUUCCUCUGAGCUUGAAGGAGCAGGAGGUGGGCAGGAGAGGGCUACGCUAGAUCAAACCAAUGGCCUAUCUAGUCCAGCGUCCUGUUUACAUAUUAGCCAACCAAAUGCCUUGGAGAAGCCUGCCUUUAGGACAUGAGUGCCACUACAUCAUCCAUCUUAUUUCUGACAAACAUCUUAAAUAUCUGGAAGCACCCCCAGACAUAUUAAAAGGGAACUCUUGGAAGAAAUGGGAUAUCUCCUGAUUAACACAUAUUUCACUAAUUUCACUGAGUCAUCUCUAAAGAAGGCAUAUCCAGGGGUAGCUGUGUUGGCCAUACAGAAAAAUGCAAUAACACCCAAAUCCACAAAACAGUGAUACCUUUAUUUGGGCUCACAAAAAAUGCCCAAAAUACAUGAUGCAAGUUUUCAAAGCUCCAUUGGUUUCUUCAUCAGACAAAGGAGUUAAAUAUUAUACAGGAAAAGAAGAAGAAAAAUGAUGACAUUAGAGUCACAAGCCCACAUUUUGUCGACAUUUAUUUUAUAUAUUUAUUUCCAGGAUUUAUGUCUCGCCUUUCUCCACAAUGGGAUGCUGCUUUUGUUGUUAGUAAGGUGGUCUGGAAGAUAUCAAUGCAGACAGAGGCCACUCCUCUCUUUGACCAUGUGGGCUCUAUGCGACAAAGAGUUAAAAUCCAGGCAAUAAAAUGUAACUUCCACUAGCUACAGAAAAAGUAACUUCCCUUAAGAUCCAGUCUGUUUCUAUCCUGGAUGACGCUACCUGCCCCUAUCUUAGGCAGAACACAUUGAAUUUCUCAAGAAGCCUCUGUACUGUUGCAUCUGGAAAAACCUUUAGGUGCUGUAUAGGUAAACCCUUCAAAUGCAGUCCCAGUUUUAAAACAAAAGUUUUACCUUUGUUGGAGGUAGAAACCUUAAGGAAUUAAGUCCCAGUUCCCUGGUUUCCUCUUCUUUAGGAGUUUCCUCUUUGAACUAAAAUGUGAUAUCCUAAAAUCCAUUUCUUAAUCUUUCUCUGAAUCCAGUCUUCUGAUUUGUAACUGCAGUUCUGCUGCUUUGCUUUUGGUACUUUUUUUGGUACAUGGUGGGUUGUUUUUGAUUUUUGUAAAGUCUCUUGGAAUCUUGGCUACAAGCCGGCAUAAACUUGCUUUAAACAAACUAAGUUAAGCAAGUAGUGGUGGGAGAUUAAACCACUGCUCACUCGGAAACUGCACAUUUGCUUGCAAGUGAAAAAGAGAUGCUGGGAUGCAUGCAGCACUGUUAAUAAAACAUAUA